rnacentral:rRNA from 1 species
UGUGGGUAGUCCGCACGAGCGCACCCUACAUUAGUUGCCAGCAUUUCGGAUGGGGACUCUAAGGAGACUGCCUGGGAUAACCAGGAGGAAGGUGGGGAUGAUGUCAAGUCAGUAUGUCCCUUAUGCCCAGGGCUACACACGUGUUACAAUGACCGGUACAAUGGGCAGCGAUCCCGCAAGGGCAAGCCAAUCCCAAAAAACCGGCCCCAGUUCAGAUUGGAGUCUGCAACUCGACUCUAUGAAGCAGGAAUCUCUAGUAAUCGCGGAUCAGCACGCCGCGGUGAAUACGUUCCCGGGUCUUGUACACACCGCCCGUCAAGCCAUGGAAGUCGGCAGUACCCGAAGCCGGUGGCCCAACUCUUCGGAGAGGGAGCCGUCGAAGGUAAGGCCGGUAACUAGGGCUAAGUCGUAACAAGGUAGCCGUACCGGAAGGUGCGGCUGGAUCACCUCCUUUCU